UACGUAGGGUGCAAGCGUUAUCCGGAAUUAUUGGGCGUAAAGAGCUCGUAGGCGGUUUGUCGCGUCUGCUGUGAAAACCCGAGGCUCAACCUCGGGCCUGCAGUGGGUACGGGCAGACUAGAGUGCGGUAGGGGAGACUGGAAUUCCUGGUGUAGCGGUGAAAUGCGCAGAUAUCAGGAGGAACACCAGUGGCGAAGGCGGCUCACUGGCCCGGUACUGACGCUGAGGUGCGAAAGCGUGGGGAGCAAACAGG
rnacentral:rRNA from 1 species